GUCUGCUGAAUUAGAGACAAUGAACCUUUGUGUUCAGCAAUUAUCUUCUCUUUGGAGUCAAUCUCUUACAAAACGUUUAUAAAGUCUUGCUGUGAUGUGAAGUCUACAUGCAGUUCUCGAGGUGACCAGACAUUGCAGAGAAACUGAGACAAUUGGACUGUACCCUGUGUACUGAAGUAGAACUGCUCACUCAACAAUGAAGGCUGUUCUUAUAACCUUCGUGACUUUACUGUGUAUCUCUACAAUGAUGCUUCCAAACGUAAUUAUGCCGAGACUUUCAGUUGCUGGAGGCCCCUUUAUGAAAUUUAAAAACAACAGAUCUCCAAAUAAAAAAGCCAGGUAUUGUCCCAGAUGUGAAUGUAGACGGCCUAUUCGCCAAAGAAUAUAAAAUCACAUUUCAAAGGUUAAGGCGAGACCCGGUAUGUGUACACUUUUAGAGUUUCUCAUGGACUAACAUCUACAACCUUUUGAAAAAAAACAACAACAGAAAAGCGGAAACCAAAUUUUGAAUAUACUUUUUAGAUUUUACAAUUAGACAUCCCUAACUUUCAAUUGAACAAAUGUUUUAAAGUCUGAUCAAAUAAAAGUACAUCAGUAGC